CACAAAGGGACAGGCGGGGCACUUACCGGCUGUGGGCAGGAGCUGCUGCGGCUGAAGCUGGAGAGGCCAGAGAAAGGUAGAGAAGAAGAAAUGGAAGGCCGGCCGGCCGGCAGCUGCCUCCCGCUGCAGGCAAGAGAGAGCCUGCCUCUCCGCGUGUGGAAGGAUCCCUCCUCGUAGUCCGCAGCAGGGGGAGGAGGACAGCCGUGCAGCCGGAGUUACAGCAGAGGAGGGGAGCGGGAGAGGAGCAGAAAGAAGCGUCUGAACUGGCAAAUUCUCCUGGCAGCGCCAAGAACAAGAGCUGUGGACUGGUGUUUGUCAAGGAUUAAGCCUGUCAGAGACUGGUA